rnacentral:pre_miRNA from 1 species
GCAGCAAGAAAAGUGAGGGACUUUUAGGGGCAGCUGUGUUUUAUUAACCCAGUCAUAAUGCCCCUAAAAAUCCUUAUUACUCUUGCAAUGGUC